AGUGGUCAUCGGUGGUCAUCGGUGGUCAUUGGAGAUCAUUGGUGGUCAGUGGUGGUCAUUGGUGGGCAUUGGUGGUCAUCGGUGGUCAUUGGAGAUCAUUUGUGGUCAUUGGAGAUCAUUGGUGGCCAUUGGAGGUUGGUGGUGAUCAUUGGUGGUCAUUGUUGGUCAUUUGAGAUCAUCGGUGGUCAUUGGUGGUCAUUGGAGAUCAUUGGUGGUCAAUGGUGGUCAAUGGUGGUCAAUGGAGAUCAAUGGAGGUCAGUGAUGGUCAAUGGAGGUCAAUGGAGGUCAAUGGAGGCCAGUGGAGGUCAAUGGAGGUCAAUGGAGGUCAAUGGAGGUUGGUGGUGGCCAUUGGAGAUCAUUGGUGGUCAAUGGAGGUCAGUGAUGGUCAAUGGAGGUCAAUGGUGGUCAAUGGAGGUCAAUGGAGGUCAGUGAUGGUCAGUG